CCUGGUCUCCGGACGGCCGCCGGCAGCUUCGGCUGCGGGAGGAAAGUCCGGGCUCCCUAGGGCAAGGUGGUGGGUAACGCCCACCGUCCGCAAGGAUAGGGAAAGUGCCACAGAGAACAAACCGCCGGACUGCCAGCUUGCUGGCGACGGUAAGGGUGAAACGGUGAGGUAAGAGCUCACCGCGGCCUGGGUGACCAGACCGGCACGGCAAACCCCACCUGGAGGAAGACCGAAUAGGAGGAUCGCGCUGCCCGCGCCGAGAUCCUCGGGUAGGUCGUUGGCGACCGUCCGCAAGGACGGUCCUAGAGAAAUGGCCGUCACCGCCCUUCGGGCGGCACCAGAACCCGGCUUACGGAGACCAGGCUCA
rnacentral:RNase_P_RNA from 1 species